AGGCAAGAUGCUGGCAUAGCUGUUGAACUGGGAACCUGCUAUGCCAACAUAUUGCCAUC
rnacentral:ncRNA from 5 species